GCAGAGCAGCUUGAGUGAUGAAAGAGUGCGGAAGUGUUAGUCGGGCGCUCCCGCCGACGCGGUGUGCAGCUAUGCUCUCGCCAAUGUAGACGCGCCCGAUUUGUUAUCCCGUGAGUACUGAGAAGACGGUAGGACUGCACAGGUGGAGGAAGCUGCAAUUCCAGCUGUUGCCUGUCCCAUAACUACCCGUGACUCUGGAGACGACUCGGGGUUCUCAAACAGCAGCAGCAGCAACAACGGCAGCUCAGCAUUGUCGCCGGCUACGUUCUUCGUCGUCCGCACAGCUACAAUAUCAUAAGAUCUGCAGAGUGCAGCGCUUCCGCCAUGGACACAUCUCAUUCUGGACAGAGGAACCUUAACUCUUCGAUUGGAGGCUUAAUGAUGACCGAAUUUCUUAACAAAACCAGGAAAAUUUUGUACAUGAAUCAAUAAAUAUUGUGCAAAAAAGA